CCUACGGGAGGCAGCAGUGGGGAAUAUUGGGCAAUGGACGCACGUCUGACCCAGCAACGCCGCGUGAAGGAAGAAGGCUUUCGGGUUGUAAACUUUCUUUUAGGGGGAAGAGAAGCAGACGGUAUCCCUUGAAUCAGCCACGGCUAACUACGUGCCAGCAGCCGCGGUAAUACGUAGGUGGCAAGCGUUGUCCGGAUUUACUGGGUGUAAAGGGCGUGCAGCCGGAGAGACAAGUCAGAUGUGAAAUCCACGGGCUCAACCCGUGAACUGCAUUUGAAACUGUUUCCCUUGAGUGUCGGAGAGGUAAUCGGAAUUCCUAGUGUAGCGGUGAAAUGCGUAGAUAUUAGGAAGAACACCAGUUGCGAAGGCAGAUUACUGGACGAUAACUGACGGUGAGGCGCGAAAGCGUGGGGAGCAAACAGGAUUAGAUACCCUAGUAGUC
rnacentral:rRNA from 1 species